GACGAACGCUGGCGGCGUGCUUAACACAUGCAAGUCGAACGGAAAGGCCCUGCUUUUGUGGCGUGCUCGAGUGGCGAAAGGGUGAGGAACGCGUGAUUAACCUCACCUUGACUUUGGGAUAACUUCCGGAGACUAGGGCUAGUACCUGAUAUGCGCUCCUACGGCAUGGUGUGGGUUGUAAAGUUUUGGCGGUUGGGGAUGGACCCGCGGCGUAUCAGCUUGUUGGUGGGGUAUUGGCUUACCAAGGCUGUGACGGGUAGCCGGCCUGAGAGGGUGACCGGCCACAUUGGGACUGAGAUACGGCCCAGACUCCUACGGGAGGCAGCAGUGGGGAAUAUUGCACAAUGGGCGGAAGCCUGAUGCAGCAACGCCGCGUGCGGGAUGACGGCCUUCGGGUUGUAAACCGCUUUCGCCUGUGACGAAGCGUGAGUGACGGUAAUGGGUAAAGAAGCACCGGCUAACUACGUG
rnacentral:rRNA from 1 species